GCUGGGGUGGUGGAGCAGGUCGAACACGGAGGGCUUAAGUCCCACAGGGGAUCAUCGGAGGUUCAAAUCCUCCCCCCAGCACCA
rnacentral:tRNA from 1 species